AUUGAACGCUAGCGGGAUGCCUUACACAUGCAAGUCGAACGGCAGCGCGGACUUCGGUCUGGCGGCGAGUGGCGAACGGGUGAGUAAUGUAUCGGAACGUGCCUAGUAGCGGGGGAUAACUACUCGAAAGAGUAGCUAAUACCGCAUACGCCNUACGGGGGAAAGGGGGGGAUCGCAAGACCUCUCACUAUUAGAGCGGCCGAUAUCGGAUUAGCUAGUUGGUGAGGUAAAGGCUCACCAAGGCGACGAUCCGUAGCUGGUUUGAGAGGACGACCAGCCACACUGGGACUGAGACACGGCCCAGACUCCUACGGGAGGCAGCAGUGGGGAAUUUUGGACAAUGGGGGAAACCCUGAUCCAGCCAUUCCGCGUGUGCGAUGAAGGCCUUCGGGUUGUAAAGCACUUUUGGCAGGAAAGAAAUCGCACCAAUUAAUACUUGGUGUGGAUGACGGUACCUGCAGAAUAAGCACCGGCUAACUAC
rnacentral:rRNA from 1 species